CAAAAAUUAUAACAUUGGUAUAUAUGAGUUUUUGCUAACGACAUAUUUUUGUAUUGUUGGCAUAUGUAGACAUAUGCGGAUGAUUUAUUAUUACUAUCAGCUUAAGUGGACCAACGCCGAUGGAAUUAAAUAUACCAUCGACAGUUCUUUUAAAACAAAAGUACCUUAGUAUUUUUUCCCAAAUCUCUUUUUUCCUCCCAAUAGGUCGCCGCCCACACACCUUCAUGAGUUUUACUCACCUUUCUUCCUCCCACAUACGCCAGCCACCCUUACCCUUUCCCUUCAUGAUUUUUCCUCAUCUUUCUUCCUCCCACACAUGCUGCCCACCCCUUCCAUUCACGCAAACGGACGGACUGACGGCUUGCACAAGUAAGAGUCUUCACACGAAUGGAACGACCACCGCCCCCCUAAUUUUUCUAGACACAUUCUUGACGGUUGCACCCCCUUCAUUGCACCCUCCGCCGCCCCACUUUUUUUCUGGACAAAGUGUCGAUGGCAGCCGCUCCCUCAUUUCUCUAGCCAGUGUCGUCAUUUUAUCCUUUUCAUCCUAAGAAAGGAAAGUGAACUUUACUUGCAACCAUUGGUAGAUGAGUUGAAAGAAUUGUGGAAUUAUGGCGUUCGUACUUAUGAUAGUGUUAGUGGUGAUUACUUUCAACUAUAUGCAAGUUUGUUAUGGACUAUUAAUGACUUUUUAGUACUAAGGGUUAUCAAGCAUGCCCCAUUUGUUAUUUUUUGGUUGUAGAUAAAGUUCAUGAACCUAGGUUUAGAUUUGUUAUCUUGGAUUUGGGAUGAAAUAUAGUUUUGUUUUCGUAAGUUAUUAUUAUUUUGGUUAUGUAAAGUUUGGAUUAUUUAGUAUGUAAGUUAUGUUUUGGUUGUAGAGAAAAGUAAAUUGUCAAGAAAUUAAAAUAUGCAAAGUUUUUGUAUAUAUAUAUAUAUAAACUGCAAAAUAUACUAGUUUA